CCCUUGUUCGCGCGAGUGCUCGUCCCUGCGCGCCCAGCCGCCCCCGCGGCCUCGCACCUUGCGCCUCGGGCAGUCGGACUGCUGUCCAUCUAGCUGCUCCUUCGCGCUUGUUCAAUCGGGUGCCAAACUGUUCGGCUCAGGGGCGCCGCCGCAACGGGUUUCCACAAUGGCAGAGGACUCCGGCGCCAUCCUCCGCCACAUCUCCUCCCUCAAGGACAUGCUCGACAAGGUACAGAGUCCACGAACCUCCCCUCUUCCAUACGCUCGUGUGCUCCCAUUGUUGCUACUCGGUGUAGAACGAAUUGAUUGGGGCCGUCUCGUCGCUGCGCCGCCCAAUCGGCGUCAGCUGGUCUCCACCUGGACGAAUCGCCUCGCCUGAGGGCCUCCAGGCAUCUCCCGCGGCGAGUUACAACGGCGGUGGGGUUUCGAUUUCGACUCGACGCCAGUUGCAGAGAAACGGAUUAGGGGUAGAUGCGGGGGGCGGUUAUUGAACUGGUAUUUAUUAGAGAAGAGUAUAUACUUUUGCGUGAGUUCAGCUAAGCUGAUUUGCUGCUAUUUAAUUAGUCGUCAAUAACUUUGUCACGGCCCAUGGUACUUUUGGUGGAUGCUACCUGUUACUUUGUCGUUUAAAACUUGAACUAAUUUUCAGUAUUCUGAUGCUGCUAUAAGAUUCAGUUUUCUGCUCAACAUCUGAUUAGGCAUGUUUGGUCUGCUGAAAAAAAGGUUUCAGGUGGGCAUGCUUGGUGUCAUUCAGUAGACUUUCAUCUGUCCUUGAGGGUCACAUUAUAUUAUGCUGGUUAUUUACAAGAUUGUGUUUCUAAAAUGAGAACAAUGUGAUUCCACCAUUUAGUUUCUAUUUAUUGACGAACUAACGUAGAUCUCAGGGGAGUUGAUGAUUCAACUAUGAACUGCACAGGUCGAAAAUUGUAUGCGAAUGGAUGAUCAAACUGUUGACUAUCUUGUAUAUGGUGCCCUUGAUCGGUUGAGCACCAAAUAUUGCCUCAUUCCUGUACUGUUUAAUAUGCCUUUCUGGGUGAUUAUAUUUUGCAUGAUAUUUUGCACCAAAUACUGCCUCAUUCCUGUACUGUUUAUUAUUCCUGGCUUGGAGGAUGGGGCCUCUACCUAUAUGAUAAAUCAUCUGAAGGUUUACACAUGCUACAAACAUGAAAGUGGUAUGAUGUAAUAGUGGUCGAUGUGAUACAUGCUGUAUUUAUUCUAUUAAAGCAAGUGUAUACCCUUCAUGUUGUGAACUAAAUAACUGAUGCCAUGACUUGGUUGCAAAGAACUGAAUUUUCUGUUUACCGAGUUGUGUUAAAUAGCAUGUUUAAUUUUGAUAUUCAACUUCUUGUGACGUUUGCCAUGCUUUAGUUUUGAUUUUGCUCUUUGAGUUAGGUCAAUGAAGAGAUUGAACAAAAUAUACAAAGGACCAGGGAAAUAGAAUCAGAAAUAGUGAAACAUUCUGAAACAGAAAAGCACUAUCUUGACAGGGAGUCUGAGUUAACCAAAGAAAUAUCUGUUGCUGAGUUUGAACUCAAUGGCCUUAUCCAAGUGGCUGGUAAUUAUUUCCUAUAAUUUCCAUUUUCAGUAUGAACCCUUUUGUUAAACAAUUCUGUAAGUUUUAUCUUUUCUCAUCCUUCAUAUAUCUUUACAAAUGGUGUUGCACAGAUCUAUGUCAUGCUUUGAACAAAGCUCGGUCUGAAGUUCCUAAACUGUUACUGUGUUCAAUGAGAUGUUUUGACACUGACAUUUCCAGCAUGCAACUUUAAUUGUUACUUGUUAUAUGAGUAAAAGUGAAUGAGGUUAUUUUUCACAACAAAUCACAUGACUAAUCCAUGUAGCCUUCUUAUUACCAGCGGUGAAAUGUCAUAUAUAUCUGAACACAGGGGGGGUGGGGGGUGUUACCUUAUAAUCCUUAUAGACAACAUAUUAAUUUAAGGACCUUUUAAACUGGUUACAUUUUUGUUUUUUGGCAUCAUAUCUCUUUUACUCCUGCUUAAUAUAAUGACGGGCUGCUUUAAGAGUAGAUCAGCUGGAGGUACUAAAAAAAUAAGGUUUCUCUUUUCAGUGCUGAAUAGUCCAUUCUCUAACCAAUAAUAGUGUUAUACUCUCUCCGUGUCUUGGUAUAGCCUCCAAAACUAGCCUUUGACUCUUAAGUGCUUGUAUACUACAUUGUUUUAGCAACAAAGUCGUAACAAUAGGAAAGUACUUCUAAAUGACAAUCGAAUGAUAUUAUUUUUGUAGAACAGAAUUAAUGUUAAGUGUGGCUAAUUGUUGGUCACAGAUUUCAAGUUUGAUUCUUGAAAUGCAUGUGUGCCUUAUAUUGUGGUAUGGAGUGAGUCGUUGGCCUGGAAACAUUCUCAUAUCCAUGAGAUUUUGUUUACUACAAUGUAUAUUAGCUGUGUGGUUUACAUCUUUCUUUAUAGAAAUAGACAUCAUUCCUCUAUUUAGUGGUUGGUUACAGAUGCAGAGUUACAUAGUGUUUACUGUAUACUGCAAGAACAAUCAUGAAAAUACAUGGCUAACUACCUUUUCAUCUUUUUUUGGGCAUAUGUAAAUUCUGACAUAAAUUUUACCUUUUUAUUUUGCUUGGAAGAACCACUAGAACCAUAAAUGUUAGCGCACUUUUGAGAUUGUGGUGUGGCAUUUACUCUUAACAGAAAUGGUGCUGCAGCAAAGAAAAGUAAAAAAAAAACAGAGACUUUAGAAAUCAAUAAAUCAUUUUGCACAAGAGCGCAUGUAAGCAUAUUGCAAUCACCCAGAUAAAUUAUUUUCACAUGCCCCAGGUGCGGCCUUCUGAACACAUGGGCCCAAGGUGCUCAUGCAAAGAAGGAAUACCAACAACAGCUGAAGGCGUACAUCAGCUUAAGUUGUCUGUGAUCUCAUCUACUAGUUAUAUCUUAUUGUUAUAGAUACUCCAUUAGGGACUGGCCAUAUAAGCCACACUACUUCUAUUCUUUGAAGCCAAUCAAAGAAGAAUUAAUCUACUUUGCCAUCUUAAUUCAUUUUUCUUAUUUAUAUCCCCUCAUCUGAGAGCAGCCGACCAUUAUCUCAGUGGUUUUUACCCUGUGGUGAUCAAAAGGUCAGCACAUUCUUGUUACAUGUACAAGCUCCCAUGUACACGAGAAAUCCAAAGCUAAUGACAUCAACAUUUAGAUGAAUCAUGUCUAUUCUGAGAAAACUACAGCUGACUGUAAGGAUGCCGUACUCGAAUCAGCCUCUGCGCCUUUGUAUUAUAGAUAGAAGAGAUCAGAAAAUGGUUCAAGGAUCAGCCACUUCUGGUCUAAAUCUUUGUGGUUCUCAUUUGUUGAUAAUGAAGUAUUUUCCAAAUUGUUGUCUUUGAUAUGCCAUUUAUCUCUCUGGUGCAUAUAUCUCGUUCUGAAUGAUAUUAUUACUAGGCUUUUACAAUUCUCUUCGGAUUUACAUUCAGUAAUCUGUUUCAACUUGUCAAACAGCCGCUGAAACAGAUUUACUUAAAGUGACAGAGGGAAAUUUGGAGUUCCAGAAAGUUGCUCUCAAUGAGAUUCAACAAAGAUUGUCUGAUAAGAUGGAAAGGUUCAUCAACGAAUCUCAGGUUUUUCAAGCUAAUGUGCUUGGAGGUUCAAAUGAAAAUUUAGUUCUUCUAUUGAAGGAAAAAGAUUCACUGGAGGAUGAGAGUGAGAACCUGAAAAUGAAGAUCAGCACUAUACACAGUUCAUCAAAGGAAUACAUUGCAGAGAUUCUUGAGGAAGUAAAUACAGAAAAUUCAGUUCUGGAGUCUGAGCUAUGGUACAAGAUCUCUGAAUACACAGAUGUUCUGAAAGAUAUAAACAACCUGAAGAUUCUGUUUAGUUCAAGCAAUUUGUAGGCUGUGUAACUGCAGGCUGGCUCUUCAUGACAAAAAUACACACAAGGUUGCUACUGACGUCUGGAUGAAGAGAACAAAUGACAGAUUCUUCAGUAGCUUAAUAGCAAUUACUUGUACAGUCUUCUUUUGUGAAAAGAGAACGGAAACACAACCUAACCAUUAUGAGUUUUGAGUACGUAUGAGUCUGCCAAGAAACAUCAAAAAAGUAUUCAGAUCACCAAUGGUGUUAUUUCAAAAAAGGCCAUAAUCUAUUGUUGAGUGACGGUGUGAUUCUAAAAAAGAGAAAUGGCAUCAUACCUUCUUCCAUAGCCUGAACUAUCCAACUGGACUCAGGCUAUGCGGAUUGCUUUCUUCAUUUAAGUUGGGUAAUUCGACCGUCCACCUUCCAUACUACCUUAUCUGUCUUUAUUUCGAGCAGUUUUGGUGUAAAAGAGUAACAUGGUUAUCUGCUAUGGAUUGCACACCCCAUUUCUACAGGCCAAAGUUUCUGUAUUUGUACACUCGUAUGAAGGAAUCGGUCGUUGUUAGUAUGAAGAUGAAGACAAGUAGGAACCAAAUCAACAAUCAUUGCCCACUACCUAGUACCCUCUGUUCUGUUACAGGAAUCAGUAAUUCUUCUUACAAUUAUGCGGCAAUAAUAUAGCACGCUCAUUAUUUCCUUUUAGUUGUUCCAUUUACAUUUUCAAAUGUUGCCGUAGUGUUAGCAUGGCCUUGUACUAUGUAAGAUAGUGGAAGUGAAAAAUCAAAAGAGAUGUUUUUAGUGGUGUUGUUUCAUCAAAAGAACCUUACUAUCCAACAUGAUUUUAAUUAGAGGUUUAAAUUUUUUUUGUGUACUUGUAGUUGACCCAAAUAAAAGCUAAAUUACUUUCAGAUUUUUAUUUAGUUGUUCACUGAUUAGUUAGCAGCAAACUGCAUAACUCUCGAUGUUCUAAGUUCUGGUUAUACUAGAAUAUCCUUUUAUUGCUUUACAGGUUAGAAGCUUUGGCUCUCUAACAUCCUGUUGGGAUCACAAGCUUCAAGGCAGUACUUAUUUCUAAAGAGAAGUCUGAACCAGUAAUAAACAUGGACGCCUUAUUAGGCUCGUUUUAAUUAUACUCUUUUUAGUUAAUAGGGCUGACUGGAAGGUACAUUGACUGCACUACACUUGUUAAAUAACCACGUCAUAAUUUUCCAAUGCCGAGUAUGGUUCAGGUUCUUAGCAAGGGGGCUGGAAUAUCUUCAAGAGGAUCAAGAACUAGUCUGGUUCUGCUUUAGUAGCAGAAUCUCUAUUUCUUUCUCUUUUGUUUCAAAGUUGAUGUUGGUCUAGCUGCUUGAAAGCGACAGUUUGUUUCUCUUCGGUUGUAAGUUGUCAAACUUUAAUGGCUGAGACCGGACUUUGGUCCUUAAUCUAAAAAAUGUAUAUCCA